rnacentral:lncRNA from 1 species
AAAUAAGCUAAAUAUGACAGUUGAGCGACCGUUCUAGAAGCACGGAACUCGGGAAUUCCUACACCUUCUCCCGGGUUAAUAGAAUUCCUUAUCUGAAUUUUUGGUGUGCGGACUGUUAAACAGAGUCCCUCGAUUCGGGAUUUAACCGGUGACUUGGGACACCAUAAAUCUCCCAAGUGGAGACUCUGAAUCUUUAAUAAAUAAUUCUAUUUUGAUUGUCCUUUAAUUGGAAAAACUCCUUUACCCCUCGUGGGGCAUAAAAAGGAGGUGUGACAGUCUUAACUAUGAACUUUUAAUGAUCUUGACCAUGAGCUUUUAAGGAUCUUUGCACGAGC